UUCAGUUUGUUUUUGAUUAAAUUUUCUGCCAGAAGUGUCCUGAGUAAAAAUUGAAAUGGGACAAAGCUGAAGAAUCAGGUGCACAAAAACUGGAGAAAGGACGUGAACGCUACAAGAAGGACAUCGCCAAUUUGGGAGUGCAUGAGCUUCAAAAGGAGAGGUUGAACAGACCAGGUCAGAGGCUGAAGGAUGGCCUUGGAGGUCUACAACAUCGUGAGGCACACGGAUGGCAUUCUUAACUGAGAACGUGGCUCCAACGUGCCUAUGACAGAAUGACCAUGGCCACAGAGCACUACUGUCUGCAAUUUUCAACCCGUCUACUCCGAAGGGCUUUGGGAAGUAAUUACUCACAACAGAAAGAAUUGCUGCCUUAAGUUAGAGCUGAAUCUGCAUGUGAUCAGAAGUUCACUGAGCUCUUCCACUUGAGUCAGAAGGUUGUGGGGACAAGUCCCACUAGAAAGAGAUAUCCUUAAUGUCACUGCUGUUUACUACCGAGCGAACGUUACACUGUUGGAGGUGCUGCUGUUCAGGUUGCUCUGCUUCUACAACUGGAGAAAACAUGCCUUAAAAUUGAGGGCAGUUCUCAGAGUCAUCAUGCAACCUUUAGCUGACAUUUAUCUCAUUGCUGCUUAUGGGUGCACAGUUCAACUGUCAUACUUCAAUACGUGAUGUAUAUGAACAGCCAGAAAGAACGGUGAACAGCCUUUUGAUUGAAAAAGAUGCCCAUUUGAUUGAUUGAUUUUGCAUCCACCCACUUCACCAGUCAUGUACAUGGCAGCAAUAUUUACUGCAUCUUGUAAAUGGUACAUAAUUCAUCCAAAUUCCUUCUACAUCCAUGACCACUACCAUAUAAAAAAGGACUACAGCAUCAACUACAAAGGCAAAACUACCGUCUGCAAGCUUCUCUCCAUGCCACACAACUCCCAGUUUAGAAUCAUAUAGCCAUUCCUUCACUGUUGUUCUUUUAAAAUCCUGGAACUCACUCCUGAACAGCCUGAUGGGUGUUCCUACAUCACAAGUGCUGUAGUGGUUCAAGAAGGCAGGUCACCAAUCACAUUCUGAUGAAUGAACGCAGGCAAAGUCAGCAACCAACAUCCCAGGAACAAGUAAGAAAUAAAAAAGUUUUUUUUAAAAAUCAUAGAAAAAUAAGAAGACAGAAGUGUGUUCACAACUUUAACACCCAAAGUUGUCAACACUUCCAAACCAACCAGGCAGUAUGCAGCCAGUUAUGCAAUUUCCUCACAGCAAAAUGCAUUGCUAAACCUCUCGUUUCCCCAUUUUGCCAUGCCUAAUUCGGACCAGAGAGAUUAGAACUCCUCUCUAUCAGCUUGGGUACCUUUCUUCUGACGUGAUUCCUGUGACCUACCAGCCACAACCCAAUUCCUCAUGUGCACCAAGUUUCUUACCCUGUGUCACAUUCCACUGAGCAAGUGUUCUUUCUAUAAAGGAUUUCUACACAAAAAGGAACCGAAAGAACUGCUGGAUGCUGUACAUCAGGAACAAAAACAAAGUUUGCUGGAAAAGCUCAUCAGGUCUAGCAGAAAUGGAGGAAGGGUCAGACACAAAACAUUAACUCUUUCCCCCACCCCCAACCUCACAGAUGCUGCCAGACCGUCUGAGCUUUUCCAGCCACUUUGUUUUUGAAUAGGUAAAAGGAUGCUCACUUGGCCACCUCGGGAGGCUGCUUGAAAGCCAACAGGAUGUGUUCAAUGUUAAUAAAGAGGGCCCAACAGGGAAAGCAGGUGAGCAGGAGAAUAAGAAUCCCUCUUUGUAGAAUCACUCCAAUUCGCUUCAGGUUCUUACUACCAAAUGUCUGAAAAACAGAACAAAAUCAAGCUUUAUUUUUUGUAGCUCCAGAUUGUAUCAAACGGUUGUCCAAAAUACAAUUAACUCAAUUUACACAAAAGACUAACUGCAACAAAGUAUCCUUACACAGCAACAAAAAGUACAACUCCUGUACUCCUUGCUUAAUAUUAUCUUAAAGAAUCACAGAUCAUCACUAGUAAAGAAAAGGUUCGAGUGAUAAAUUCAAAGGGGAUGUUUCAAUCCUUGAAAUUGCAAGUGUAUUUUUGAAGAGGAUACAUUAACUCAUUGCAGAUUAAUCCCAAUUUAUGCAAGAUAUGAUUUAAUGUUUUAUGCUUUUUUGCUUCUGUGUAAUA